rnacentral:lncRNA from 10 species
CUUUGCUACCGGGACUGUUGAGCCACUUGCUGGGGCUUCUCCCGUUCUGUGGAGUGUACUUUCGCUCCUAUUGCCUUCCGCUUCAGUAAAUCUAGGCUUUCAUUGCUUGCUCGCGGGUGCUGUUCAAUUCUUUGUUCAACGCACCAAGAACCAGGACAACUCAUGAUUAGAACCUUCCACUCGGUACCAGUCCACAGAUUUACAACUUGAGGUGGCCUGCACCAGACCCACGGGGCAAUAACAGUCUUCCAUUGAAUUCUUUAGCAGUUUCUACAAUUGCAUAAGUUAACAAGAUCAACCUUGCUGGGAAAUGAACAAGCGACCAGGACUGCGUGCAAUUCUACUUGGAGAUCUUCAUAACACCUUAAGGGAAAAAUCCUUUUUGAAAGAAAAACAAGUCUGGGUGGUGCUUGAAAAUUCAGAAGGCAGCUAGAAACUCUGCCAAUUACAACUGGUGAUUGCUGAGUUCUGGAGACAGACUGGGCUUCUGCUUUCUUUUGGUGGAGGUGUCUGCUUGCAGAAAAUUUAUGUUCUGGGAUUUACAACUUCAGGGAGACAAAGGAAACUCCAGCUCAUCUCCCACAUCAUUGAUUGAGAGGACCAUUUUCUGACUGUCUGCACACGUUUCCUAUACUACCCUUUAAUGCAACAAUGGGAUGAAGAGAUGAAGACUUCUAGCAGGCUACCUCAGAAAGGUUGCUGACCAAAGGCUGUAUGGACCAAAAAGUCAUAACACCACCCUGGAUGAAAGGACAUUUACCUAAGGAAUUACCCGCUCUCAAUUCUUCCCAGGUGCAUGUAGUAUAGAUUAAAUAAGGUGGUUGUAUGGCAACAGAGACAUUAUUAGAAACAUUCUUCUUGAAGUUUGACAACAAAGCAGUAGAUGUGUAUCUACUACAGAGUUGUUAGUGAAAAAAG